rnacentral:rRNA from 1 species
ACGCUCGACACCUACGGGAAGCAGCAGUUGGGAAUAUUGGACAAUGGAGGAAACUCUGAUCCAGUGACGCCGCGUGAAGGAAGAAGGUCUUCGGAUUGUAAACUUAUUUUGUCAGGGAAGAAAAAAUGACUGUACCUGAAGAAAAAGCACCGGCUAACUACGUGCCAGCAGCCGCGGUAAUCUGAGCGGGCUGGCAAGGC